rnacentral:rRNA from 1 species
GACGAACGCUGGCGGCGGGCUUAACACAUGCAAGUCGAACGGAAAGGCCCUGGUUUUUUGCUGUGCUCGAGUGGCAAACGGGUGAGUAACAGUAGCGUAACCUGCCCUUGACUUUCGGAUAACUUCAGGCAACUGGGGCUCAUACCAGUAAGGAGCGCCGUCUGUAUGGGGGGGGUUGGAAAGUUUCGGCGGUUGGGGAUGGACUCGCGGCUUAUCAGCUUGUUGGUGGGGUAGUGGCUUACCAAGGCUUUGAGGGGUAGCCGGCCUGAGAGGGUGACCGGCCACAUUGGGACUGAGAUACGGCACAGACUCCUACGGGAGGCAGCAGUGGGGAAUAUUGCACAAUGGGCGGAAGCCUGAUGCAGCAACGCCGCGUGAGGGAUGACGGCCUUCGGGUUGUAAACGGCUUUCGCCUGUGACGAAGCGUGAGUGACGGUAAUGGGUAAAGAAGCACCGGCUAACUACGUG